ACGUACGGUCGUACGCUCCGGUUCCUGUGCGCUGGCCAACCACGGCUGAGGCCCGCUCGCGACGUGGGCUGAACG
rnacentral:sRNA from 1 species